CGCUGUUGGUUGUAAUAGAUAUAAUUAAUCCAAUUAAGGUUUUUGUUGGCAGUGACUAUGGUAAAAAGUGAUUCAAAACCUGCAGCUACUUAAUCUCUAGCUUUAAAUUCAUUAGGUACCCCCCUAGGCACCCCAAUGGCAUCUAUGUAAAUGUGGGGGUCAAAACUGCCUUUUACUGGGGUUUCGCGCCUUACUCUGGCUGAUGUAUGUGGAGGGUCGUAUGUGUCAUGAUGAUUAUCAGAAAUAAUAUGAAUGGGCAUGAUAACUUUGGCCAGGGUACACUCACC